rnacentral:tRNA from 1 species
AAUUAAGUGUUCUUGGGAUCGAAGCCCGAUAGUCUAGU